UACGUAGGGUGCGAGCGUUGUCCGGAUUUAUUGGGCGUAAAGCGAGCGCAGGUGGUUUAAUAAGUCUGAUGUAAAAGGCAGUGGCUCAACCAUUGUGUGCAUUGGAAACUGUUAGACUUGAGUGCAGUAGAGGAGAGUGGAAUUCCAUGUGUAGCGGUGAAAUGCGUAGAUAUGUGGAGGAACACCAGUGGCGAAGGCGACUCUCUGGUCUGUAACUGACGCUGAGGCUCGAAAGCGUGGGGAGCAAACAGG
rnacentral:rRNA from 1 species